GAGUUUGAUCCUGGCUCAGAACGUACGCUGGCGGCACGCCUAACACAUGCAAGUCGAACGAAGUAGCAAUACUUAGUGGCAGACGGGUGAGUAACAUGUAGGUAUCUGCCCUUUGGCCUGGAAUAACACGAGGAAACUUGUGCUAAUACCGGAUAAGUCUUUACGGAGAAAGCUUUAUGCACCAUUGGAUGAGCCUGCACUUGAUUAGUUUGUUGGUGGGGUAAUGGCCUACCAAGACUGUGAUCAAUAGCUGAUUUGAGAGGAUGAUCAGCCACAUUGGGACUGAGACACGGCCCAAACUCCUACGGGAGGCAGCAGUGGGGAAUCUUGCACAAUGGAGGAAACUCUGAUGCAGCGAUGCCGCGUGAGUGAAGAAGGCCCUUGGGUUGUAAAGCUCUUUCGUCGGGGAAGAAAAUGACUGUACCCGAAUAAGAAGGUCCGGCUAACUUCGUGCCAGCAGCCGCGGUAAUACGAAGGGACCUAGCGUAGUUCGGAAUUACUGGGCUUAAAGAGUUCGUAGGUGGUUGAAAAAGUUAGUGGUGAAAUCCCAGAGCUUAACUCUGGAACUGCCAUUAAAACUUUUCAGCUAGAGUAUGAUAGAGGAAAGCAGAAUUUCUAGUGUAGAGGUGAAAUUCGUAGAUAUUAGAAAGAAUACCAAUUGCGAAGGCAGCUUUCUGGAUCAUUACUGACACUGAGGAACGAAAGCAUGGGUAGCGAAGAGGAUUAGAUACCCUCGUAGUCCAUGCCGUAAACGAUGUGUGUUAGACGUUGGAAAUUUAUUUUCAGUGUCGCAGGGAAACCGAUAAACACACCGCCUGGGGAGUACGACCGCAAGGUUAAAACUCAAAUGAAUUGACGGGGACCCCGCACAAGUAGUGGAGCAUGUGGUUUAAUUCGAAGAUACGCGCAGAACCUUACCAACACUUGACAUGUUCGUCGCGACUCUAAGAGAUUAGAGUUUUCGGUUCGGCCGGACGAAACACAGGUGCUGCAUGGCUGUCGUCAGCUCGUGUCGUGAGAUGUUGGGUUAAGUCCCGCAACGAGCGCAACCCUCACUUUUAGUUGCCAUCAUUAAGUUGGGCACUCUGAAAGAACUGCCAGUGAUAAGCUGGAGGAAGGUGGGGAUGACGUCAAGUCCUCAUGGCCCUUACGUGUUGGGCUACACACGUGCUACAAUGGUAUCUACAACAGGAAGCAAGACUGCGAAGUUAAGCAAAUCCCUAAAAGAUACCUCAGUUCGGAUUGCACUCUGCAACUCGAGUGCAUGAAGCUGGAAUUACUAGUAAUCGUGGAUCAGCGUGCCACGGUGAAUGCGUUCCCGGGUCUUGUACACACCGCCCGUCACACCAUGGGAGUUGGUUCUACCUUAAGGCAAGGUUUCAAACCCUUGACCACGGUAUAGUCAGCGACUGGGGUGAAGUCGUAACAAGGUAACC
rnacentral:rRNA from 1 species